rnacentral:rRNA from 1 species
AGUGAACGCUGGCGGUAGGCCUAACACCUGCAAGUCGAACGGCAGCACAGUAAGAGCUUGCUCUUACGGGUGGCGAGUGGCGGACGGGUGAGGAAUACAUCGGAAUCUACUUUUUCGUGGGGGAUAACGUAGGGAAACUUACGCUAAUACCGCAUACGACCUACGGGUGAAAGCAGGGGAUCUUCGGACCUUGCGCGAUUGAAUGAGCCGAUGUCGGAUUAGCUAGUUGGCGGGGUAAAGGCCCACCAAGGCGACGAUCCGUAGCUGGUCUGAGAGGAUGUUCAGCCACACUGGAACUGAGACACGGUCCAGACUCCUACGGGAGGCAGCAGUGGGGAAUAUUGGACAAUGGGCGCAAGCCUGAUCCAGCCAUACCGCGUGGGUGAAGAAGGCCUUCGGGUUGUAAAGCCCUUUUGUUGGGAAAGAAAAGCAGCAGGUUAAUACCCCGCUGUUCUGACGGUACCCAAAGAAUAAGCACCGGCUAACUUCGUG